UUCAGAGCGUACCUUCAAACUUUCCCCGGAAUGAGCGAUUGUGAGACCUCACGGACCAACUGAAGUCGCUCGCAUUAACCUCGCAUCAUUGACGCCAGUGCGUCGUCGAUAAGGGAGAAGGAUCACCUUCAAUCGGUAACGUGUGGUCGAUGUAGAACUAGAAUCAGCCUCAAUCGAAAAUCCAUCGUCGACGAAAAGCGAGAGUCAAUCUUCAAUCGGAAAUGCGUUGUCGAUGAAAAUUGAUCGUUGACGAUGAUUGGAGUGGAGCGAUGCGUCGCCGCUUGAAAUGGAACGUAGAACGACGAUGCUCGAGUCGAAAGAUGACAAGCGGAAGCGAAUCAAUUCCGAAAAGGUUGGGAGAUUAUUUGAGCGAGAUGACAAAUGUGAGGAUUCAGUUGCGGUAGUCUCCGUGAAUCGUCGGUGAAGGAUUACCGAGCGUCUCCGUUUCUGUUAUUGUUGUUAGCGAUGAAGGUUGAAAAUGGAAUCGCGCAGCAAAUCAGAGAGGAAGUUUUAUCGCCGGUGAUGGAACUGGGAGGUUCUGUGAGUGGUUAAAGUGGUGAUGGCAACGGUUGAAGGUGAAGAAAGAUGGAAGCGUGGUUCUGUUACAGGUUUUUGCAGACGAUGAUGGUGAAGGGGUUUGGUGAGGCUAAGAAUGAAUACGGAGGGUGACGAGUGAAGAAAUUCGAUCUCCCAUUGAGGAUGAAGGAUGAUGGAUACUUAUAGGGUGAGGGUUUCAUUUGGAUUUUAUGCAAGUUUUUUCGUGUUGUCGGCGUUUCCGUUGCGUUGAUGGUGUAUGCUGUAGCUUAUGGUGGCUAGGCGUGGGUUCGCUUUUAAAGCUGCCUUGCCCUGUUACUGCUGUUGUGGCUUUCUUUUUUGACGGAUUGGUUUGCUGCCGUUGGGAUUGCCGGCUUAUGGACCUGCGUUCCGUUGCAGCAAGGGGUGCUACGAGUUGCGUUUUUUGCCGUAGAAGCUGUUUGAUGCUGUUAUAGCUUGUACAGAGUUGGCUUGAGGCUUGUUGUUAAGUUUCGAUGCCUUGCGUGUUUUGGAAUGCUGGCUUUGCGAUGUUACUAGCUGCGUUGGCUGUUGCAGCUUUUGUUUUUCCAUUCGCAGCUUUUUCAAAUUUUCAUUUUUCCCUUCUUCAUUUUAUUUGGAUUUCUUUGUCAUCACCGUUGGAUUAUAAACAUAACAGCUUUGGUGCUGCCGUUUCUGUUUCGCCGUUUUGCACUGCGCUCUGUUUCUGUUGGCUGCAGAUUAUGGUGGUGGCAGCGUUUUGUGCUGAUGCAGUUGUAGCUCGCAUUUUGCUUCGAUGCUGUGGAGUUUUCAUUGCCGUUUCAAUUGGCUUGCGUGUACUAGCUUCCGUGUUUUUGCUGCAUUAUUCCCUCCUUUGUCUUAUUUGAAUGUGGUGUUCGAGUUAGGGAUUAUGGUAGGUAACUUGAUUGUGGAUAUAUAGUGGAUAUUUGGAUAUAAUGGAUAUGGUGUAUUUGGUAUUUGGUUAAUGGUUUUGCUAAGUGGAUUUAAAUGGUUUGGAUAAAUUGGAUUUUGAUUUUUAGAACA